AUACUAGCUUUGGCAGUACACAUACUGAAACUAGAAUGAUACAGAGAUAGCCUAGCAUGGCUCCCUCACAAGGAUUACAUACAAAUUCAUGAAAUGUUCCAUAUUUUU